rnacentral:tRNA from 1 species
AGGGAAUUAGCUCAACUGGUAGAGCAACCGUCUUACACACGGUAGGUUAAGUGUUCGAACCACUUAUUCCUUA